rnacentral:rRNA from 1 species
GACGAACGCUGGCGGCGUGCUUAACACAUGCAAGUCGAACGGAAAGGCCCCUUUGGGGGUACUCGAGUGGCGAACGGGUGAGUAACACGUGCGUAACCUGCCCUCGACUUCGGGAUAACUUCCGGAAACUGGGGCUAAUACCGGAUAGGAAUCCUUGCUGCAUGGUGGGGGUUGGAAAGCUUCGGCGGUUUUGGAUGGACUCGCGGCUUAUCAGCUUGUUGGUGGGGUAGUGGCUUACCAAGGCUUUGACGGGUAGCCGGCCUGAGAGGGCGACCGGCCACAUUGGGACUGAGAGACGGCCCAGACUCCUACGGGAGGCAGCGGUGGGGAGUAUUGCACAAUGGGCGGAAGCCUGAUGCAGCAACGCCGCGUGCGGGAUGACGGCCUGCGGGUUGUAAACCGCUGUCAGCAGGGGCGAAGCUUGUGGUGACGGUACCUUCAGAAGAAGCACCGGCUAACUACGUG